rnacentral:lncRNA from 1 species
UCAGAAAUUCAGAAACACUCAGAAUUUAGAAUAUGUGUAUGACAAUGUGAAUUAUUUGCAUGUUUAUGCGUACGUGAAUAUUUGCAUGGUUUCUCACUGAGUAUAUUUUCAAUAUGCUCACCCUUAUCUUCUCAGUUUUGCAGUUUUGGGGUUGAGGUGGCCAUGGAAGUCGAGAAUGACUAGAGAUUUAGUAUUUUCAUAGAAAUUUAAGUUGAACAUGUUACUUUUUAGUUUAUCAUUUUUUUUCAUGCUACUACUUUAGUUUUGGCAAGUUGAUUUUAAAAUGGUUUAAACUUUUAUAAUUCAAGGAAUUUUAUUUUAUCUAUUAGUUUUUCAAGGAUUUUAUAUUAUGAAAAUUGGGGUGUUACA